rnacentral:rRNA from 1 species
AACGAACGCUGGCGGCAUGCCUAACACAUGCAAGUCGAACGAGACCUUCGGGUCUAGUGGCGCACGGGUGCGUAACGCGUGGGAACCUGCCCUUAGGUUCGGAAUAACUCCCCGAAAGGGGUGCUAAUACCGGAUAAUGUCUUCGGACCAAAGAUUUAUCGCCUUUGGAUGGGCCCGCGUUGGAUUAGCUAGUUGGUAGGGUAAAAGCCUACCAAGGCGACGAUCCAUAGCUGGUCUGAGAGGAUGAUCGGCCACACUGGGACUGAGACACGGCCCAGACUCCUACGGGAGGCAGCAGUGGGGAAUAUUGGACAAUGGGCGAAAGCCUGAUCCAGCAAUGCCGCGUGAGUGAUGAAGGCCUUAGGGUUGUAAAGCUCUUUUACCCGGGAUGAUAAUGACAGUACCGGGAGAAUAAGCGCCGGCUAACUCCGUG